rnacentral:rRNA from 1 species
CGCGUAGGCGGCUUGGUAAGGGGGCGGUGAAAGCCCGGGCUCAACCCCGGGUCGGCCGGACCGACUGCCGAGCUUGAGCACACUAGGGCGGGUGGAAUUCCGGGUGUAGCGGUGGAAUGCGUAGAGAUCCGGAGGAACACCGGUGGCGAAGGCGGCCCGCCGGGGUGUGGCUGACGCUGAGGCGCGACAGCGUGGGGAGCAAACAGGAUUAGAUACCCUGGUAGUCCACGCCGUAAACGAUGGGCACUAGGUGCUCGGGGGAGCGACCCCUUGGGUGCCGGCGCUAACGCAUUAAGUGCCCCGCCUGGGGAGUACGGCCGCAAGGCUGAA